GUGAAUCAUCGAAUCUUUGAACGCAAAUUGCACUCUCUUCUGAGAGUAUGCCUGUUUGAGGGUCAGUAUUAACAAAAAAUCGGUGUGGUUGCAAAUUGUUACGUUUCCGGAGUUUGGGCUAUCUUAACUUUUUUGUUUAGAUGCUUAAAAUUUACCUUUUUUUCUCAUUUUUAGACGUACAUAAAUUUUUUUUUUAUUCGUUUAUUCUUAAUUCCAAAAUCUUAUUUGAUUCGAUCACAUCUUUUGGCUUCUUUCCCA
rnacentral:misc_RNA from 1 species